UCCCUGGUGGUCCAGUGGUUAGGACUUGGCACUUUCACUGCCAAGGGCCUGGGUUUGAUUCCUGGUUGGGAAC